rnacentral:rRNA from 1 species
GACGAACGCUGGCGGCGUGCCUAACACAUGCAAGUCGAGCGAAGUGCUUGGAGAUGAUUUCUUCGGACUGAUUCACCAAGUAUCUUAGCGGCGGACGGGUGAGUAACGCGUGAGAAACCUGCCUUUCACAAAGGGAUAGCCUCGGGAAACUGUGAUUAAUACCUUAUGAAACUGUAUUACCGCAUGGUAGAACAGUCAAAGCGCUUAAGCGGUGAGAGAUGGUCUCGCGUCCCAUUAGCUAGUUGGUGAGAUAAAAGCCCACCAAGGCGACGAUGGGUAGCCGGCCUGAGAGGGUGACCGGCCACACUGGAACUGAGACACGGUCCAGACUCCUACGGGAGGCAGCAGUGGGGAAUAUUGCACAAUGGAGGGAACUCUGAUGCAGCGACGCCGCGUGAGUGAUGAAGGCUUUCGAGUCGUAAAACUCUGUCCUUGGGGACGAUAAUGACGGUACCCAAGGAGGAAGCCCCGGCUAACUACGUGCCAGCAGCCGCGGUAAUACGUAGGGGGCGAGCGUUGUCCGGAAUUAUUGGGCGUAAAGGGUUCGCAAGCGGCCGAUUAAGUCAGAUGUGAAAUCCCACGGGUUAACCG